AACGAACGCUGGCGGCAGGCCUAACACAUGCAAGUCGAGCGGAUGAAGAGAGCUUGCUCUCUGAUUUAGCGGCGGACGGGUGAGUAAUGCCUAGGAAUCUGCCUGGUAGUGGGGGAUAACGUUCCGAAAGGAACGCUAAUACCGCAUACGUCCUACGGGAGAAAGCAGGGGACCUUCGGGCCUUGCGCUAUCAGAUGAGCCUAGGUCGGAUUAGCUAGUUGGUGAGGUAAUGGCUCACCAAGGCGACGAUCCGUAACUGGUCUGAGAGGAUGAUCAGUCACACUGGAACUGAGACACGGUCCAGACCCCUACGGGAGGCAGCAGUGGGGAAUAUUGGACAAUGGGCGAAAGCCUGAUCCAGCCAUGCCGCGUGUGUGAAGAAGGUCUUCGGAUUGUAAAGCACUUUAAGUUGGGAGGAAGGGCAUUAACCUAAUACGUUAGUGUUUUGACGUUACCAACAGAAUAAGCACCGGCUAACUUCGUGCCAGCCGCCGCAGUAAAAC
rnacentral:rRNA from 1 species